GAUGAACGCUAGCGGCAGGCCUAAUACAUGCAAGUCGAACGGUCAGUAGCAAUACUGAUAGUGGCGCACGGGUGCGUAACACGUAACUAACCUACCUAUAACUGGGGGAUAGCCCGCCGAAAGGCGGAUUAAUACCGCAUAAGCUAGUUAAACGGCAUCGUUUGAUUAGUAAAGAUUUAUUGGUUAUAGAUGGGGUUGCGGGUCAUUAGCUAGUUGGUAAGGUAACGGCUUACCAAGGCGACGAUGACUAGGGGAGCUGAGAGGCUGGUCCCCCACACGGGCACUGAGAUACGGGCCCGACUCCUACGGGAGGCAGCAGUAGGGAAUAUUGGGCAAUGGGCGAGAGCCUGACCCAGCCAUGCCGCGUGCAGGAAGAAGGCUUUCUGAGUCGUAAACUGCUUUUGACAGGGAAGAAUAAGCACUACGUGUAGUGUGAUGACGGUACCUGCAGAAUAAGCACCGGCUAACUCCGUGCCAGCAGCCGCGGUAAUACGGAGGGUGCGAGCGUUGUCCGGAUUUAUUGGGUUUAAAGGGUGCGUAGGCGGCCCGUUAAGUCCGGGGUGAAAGCCCGCUGCUCAACAGCGGAACUGCCCUGGAUACUGACGGGCUUGAGUACAGACGAGGUUGGCGGAAUGGACUGAGUAGCGGUGAAAUGCAUAGAUACAGUCCAGAACCCCGAUUGCGAAGGCAGCUGAACUAGG
rnacentral:rRNA from 1 species